UACGGAGGGAGCUAGCGUUGUUCGGAAUUACUGGGCGUAAAGCGCACGUAGGCGGCUUUGUAAGUUAGAGGUGAAAGCCCGGGGCUCAACCCCGGAAUUGCCUUUAAGACUGCAUCGCUUGAAUCCGGGAGAGGUGAGUGGAAUUCCGAGUGUAGAGGUGAAAUUCGUAGAUAUUCGCAGGAACACCAGUGGCGAAGGCGGCUUACUGGUCCAUUACUGACGCUGAGGUGCGAAAGCGUGGGGAGCAAACAGG
rnacentral:rRNA from 1 species